rnacentral:miRNA from 1 species
UCUGAGCUCUGCCCUUCCCAU